CAGAGGCGCGCUACCAUGCAGUCGAGCGAACCUUCGGGUUAGCGGCGGACGGGUGAGUAACGCGUGGGAACGUACCCUCUUCUGCGGGAUAGCCACUGGAAACGGUGAGUAAUACCGCAUACGCCCUUCGGGGGAAAGAUUUAUCGGAGGAGGAUCGGCCCGCGUUGGAUUAGGUAGUUGGUGGGGUAAUGGCCUACCAAGCCUACGAUCCAUAGCUGGUUUUAGAGGAUGAUCAGCCACACUGGGACUGAGACACGGCCCAGACUCCUACGGGAGGCAGCAGUGGGGAAUCUUAGACAAUGGGCGCAAGCCUGAUCUAGCCAUGCCGCGUGAGUGACGAAGGCCUUAGGGUCGUAAAGCUCUUUCGCCAGAGAUGAUAAUGACAGUAUCUGGUAAAGAAACCCCGGCUAACUCCGUGCCAGCAGCCGCGGUAAUACGGAGGGGGUUAGCGUUGUUCGGAAUUACUGGGCGUAAAGCGCACGUAGGCGGAUUGGAAAGUUGGGGGUGAAAUCCCAGGGCUCAACCCUGGAACUGCCUCCAAAACUCCCAGUCUGGAGUUCGAGAGAGGUGAGUGGAAUUCCGAGUGUAGAGGUGAAAUUCGUAGAUAUUCGGAGGAACACCAGUGGCGAAGGCGGCUCACUGGCUCGAUACUGACGCUGA
rnacentral:rRNA from 1 species